AGUGAACGCUGGCGGUAGGCCUAACACAUGCAAGUCGAACGGCAGCACAGGAGAGCUUGCUCUCUGGGUGGCGAGUGGCGGACGGGUGAGGAAUACAUCGGAAUCUACUCUGUCGUGGGGGAUAACGUAGGGAAACUUACGCUAAUACCGCAUACGACCUACGGGUGAAAGCAGGGGACCUUCGGGCCUUGCGCGAUUGAAUGAGCCGAUGUCGGAGUAGCUAGUUGGCGGGGUAAAGGCCCACCAAGGCGACGAUCCGUAGCUGGUCUGAGAGGAUGAUCAGCCACACUGGAACUGAGACACGGUCCAGACUCCUACGGGAGGCAGCAGUGGGGAAUAUUGGACAAUGGGCGCAAGCCUGAUCCAGCCAUACCGCGAGGGUGAAGAAGGCCUUCGGGUUGUAAAGCCCUUUUGUUGGGAAAGAAAUCCAGCUGGCUAAUACCCGGUUGGGAUGACGGUACCCAAAGAAUAAGCACCGGCUAACUUCGUGCCAGCAGCCGCCGUAA
rnacentral:rRNA from 1 species